UACGUAGGGUGCGAGCGUUGUCCGGAUUUAUUGGGCGUAAAGAGCUCGUAGGUGGUUCGGUAAGUCGGGUGUUAAACCCCCAGGCUCAACCUGGGGACGCCACUCGAUACUGCUGUGACUAGAGUCCGGUAGGGGAGCGUGGAAUUCCUGGUGUAGCGGUGAAAUGCGCAGAUAUCAGGAGGAACACCAGCGGCGAAGGCGGCGCUCUGGGCCGGUACUGACACUGAGGAGCGAAAGCGUGGGUAGCAAACAGG
rnacentral:rRNA from 1 species